ensembl:snoRNA small nucleolar RNA SNORD60
AGCCUGUGAUGAACUUUUUCUGACACCUCGUAUGAGUACUUUUUCACUACUUGAUUAUAAGGAAUAAUCUGAGACUG